rnacentral:ncRNA from 1 species
GUAACUUCCUUGACGAGAACAAGUACGUAUCGGAAUCAUUCCACAGAGAGCCGGCGAUUGCUGCAAGCCCGGCGUAUGAGCCGUUACCGAAUAUCCUCUCCGAGAAGCGCCGCCUAACCUGCGAGAAGUGCAGCAUUAAGCGUCGACGGCCAGUCCUCCGUUACAGGGACCGCGAAUCGAAGUCGGGUUCGCAGACAAGGUGUCGCAGCCGCUGAUCGUCGUCGGGAUGAUCGGAGAGUUCCUAUGGUGGAGCUGUACAGGCUGCGGAACAAGGGUGGUAUCGCGAGCAAACCUCGUCCCUUUA